AUUGAACGCUGGCGGCAGGCCUAACACAUGCAAGUCGAGCGAGCGGCGGACGGGUGAGUAAUGUCUGGGAAACUGCCUGAUGGAGGGGGAUAACUACUGGAAACGGUAGCUAAUACCGCAUACCAUCAGAUGUGCCCAGAUGGGAUUAGCUAGUAGGUGGGGUAACGGCUCACCUAGGCGACGAUCCCUAGCUGGUCUGAGAGGAUGACCAGCCACACUGGAACUGAGACACGGUCCAGCCUCCGACGGGAGGCAGCAGUGGGGAAUAUUGCACAAUGGGAACAAGCCUGAUGCAGCCAUGCCGCUUGUGUGAAGAAGGCCUUCGGGUUGUAAAGCACUUUCAGCGGGGAGGCGUUACCCGCAGAAGAAGCACCGGAUAACUCCGUGCCAGCCGGCGAGGUAAUAC
rnacentral:rRNA from 1 species